rnacentral:misc_RNA from 1 species
UGGUACCUGCAUUUCAAGCGACCCUCCUCUUUCUGACGAAGGAGUCGGGAUCGCUCAAAUCCAAUUCUCUCGACGCAAGCGAAGAGAGAUUUGAGAUGUUUACAGAUACUCAAACAAGCAUACUCUCCGGAAUACCAGAGAGUGCAAUGUGCGUUCAAAGAUUCGAUGAUUCACUGAAUUCUGCAAUUCACAUUACGUAUCGCAUUUCGCUGCGUUCUUCAUCGAUGCGUCGUUACCUUA